CACAGCCACGCCUUGUUAAGUCAAAUUGCCAUGCAAAUGCUCUCGGCCUGGAGCGUUACGCCUUGAUAAGACUCGAAGAUAGAGAAAUGGUGUCAGAACAACAACAGCAACUGCAACAACUACUGAAAGAAGAGAGGAAGGCUUAAUGUUGUCUACCGAAGCGGUCGAUACCCUUGAACGUCCAUACCAUAUUGGAAUAUACAUAGUUUAUAAUCUAAUCUGCCCUAAUAGCCCUUAGGGCUAUAUCUUUUCUAUCACUACGAUAUUGCUUGUAACAAAUACAAGGAUCUUUGCAAAGUUAAAUCCAGAAGUGGAAAUCAUCAUACCCCCCUUCGUGGGUAUCAAAAACUAUGGAAAAGUCUAACGAUGCGCGCACAGGAAACAAGAACAAACAUGUAAUUCAAUUGAUUGCCCCAGGCGGCAGCAAGCAAACAGAAGAGAGCAGACACCGCGCAGGAAUAUAGAUGGGCAGACCUGAGGACUGAGGCUAAGGUGGAGAUAGGAAAAGGUGCGGAUAAUGGAGCAGCAGCAGAAAAAGAGCAAUUCAAUUGAACAACUUAACGAAAUGCAUUUGAAUUGAAUUGAUGUUGCAUUUGCCACAAUCAACAGGUUGUCGGUUGCCACUUAAGCCUCAUCGCCACUGAGUACAAUAAUUGGGUCGUCGGUGAUGGUGCCGGGGGCGGUGCCGGGGGCUGUGGGCUUGUGUUUGUCCAGGGAUUUGAGUUACGGUUGAGCUAAAGUGCAGGGCGCCGUAAAGUUUUGUACUUUAAAUGUGAAAAGGAAAAAGAUAAUACGGGAAAUGUCAAAGCAUCAGGAAAAGUGCGUACCAUAGGCUAGACAGUGGGGAAAACCAAGAGAAAUGUGGUUGGGCGUAGAAAGUGCAAUUACUGGGACACCAUUUGGAGAAAGCCAGGCAUUGGGAUCGAAAAAAGAGCUAAAAGUAGAACCCAUUCCCUAUUGAAAUUUUUGUAACCCUUUAAUUGCCUCAUCAUCCCAUCGUAUCCGUCGACACUAAUGCCAUGCCAAACUUUUGCUGCCACAGAAUUAACAGACUGGCGGCGGCGAAUGUGUGCUAAGCUUCCGGUUUUGGGUGCUACCGUGCCCUGCCACGUCAACGCCCCCCGGUUCAGAGUCCUGCGAGGACAUGAAACUGACAGCAGCCAGUCAAACAAUGGCACCGGACCAGAGCCAGGACUACGACAAGCACUAGUCACACUUUCGUCCUUUGGCAUCCAACUCCCACGACAGUGCCUUAAUGUGUCUCCGUGUGGAAUGCGGCUAAGCUGCUAACGUGUCCUUGUAUGUUGUCUAAUUGUCUAUGUAGGGGCUGUACUCCAGCCUUCUGUGUGCUUUCUUUGUGCGUGUCCAUCCCAAAGGACACUUUAAACCGCCGACAGGCGUGUGAGAUUAAAGAUGGGCACGGAAACGGGCCCGGGCACGUCUA